rnacentral:rRNA from 1 species
GAUGAACGCUAGCGGCAGGCUUAAUACAUGCAAGUCGUGGGGCAGCAUGACUGUAGCAAUACAGUUGAUGGCGACCGGCAAACGGGUGCGGAACACGUACACAACCUUCCUUUAAGUGGGGAAUAGCCCAGAGAAAUUUGGAUUAAUACCCCGUAACAUAUAGAAGUGGCAUCGCUUUUAUAUUAUAGCAGCAAUGCGCUUGAAGAUGGGUGUGCGGCUGAUUAGAUAGUUGGCGGGGUAACGGACCACCAAGUCGACGAUCAGUAACUGGUGUGAGAGCACGACCAGUCACACGGGCACUGAGACACGGGCCCGACUCCUACGGGAGGCAGCAGUAAGGAAUAUUGGUCAAUGGACGCAAGUCUGAACCAGCCAUGCCGCGUGGAGGAUGAAGGUCCUCUGGAUUGUAAACUUCUUUUAUCUGGGACGAAAAAAGGCGAUUCUUCGUCACUUGAUGGUACCAGAUGAAUAAGCACCGGCUAACUCCGUGCCAGCCGCCGCUGUAACAC